rnacentral:Y_RNA from 1 species
AACAUGUCUUGGUAGUGGGUUAUCAGAACUUAUUAAGAUUAGCGUCACUAAAGUUGGUAUUCAACCCCCCACUGCUAAAUUUGACUGGCUUUAA